rnacentral:rRNA from 1 species
AACGAACGCUGGCGGCAGGCCUAACACAUGCAAGUCGAACGCUCCGCAAGGGGAGUGGCGCACGGGUGAGUAACACGUGGGAACCUACCUUCUGGUACGGAACAACCAAGGGAAACUUUGGCUAAGACCGUAUACGACCUCCGGGUGAAAGAUUGAUCGCCGGAAGAGGGGCCCGCGUCCGAUUAGGUAGUUGGUGAGGUAACGGCUCACCAAGCCUUCGAUCGGUAGCUGGUCUGAGAGGAUGACCAGCCACACUGGGACUGAGACACGGCCCAGACUCCUACGGGAGGCAGCAGUGGGGAAUAUUGGACAAUGGGCGCAAGCCUGAUCCAGCCAUGCCGCGUGAGUGAUGAAGGCCUUC